UAGCAAUCAAAAUCGUGGAUGAUUUUGAUAAGAAUUUUCAGCACAGGGAUGUGAUGUAAAUUCUGGUGCGUAAAGUAU
rfam:Kangiella koreensis DSM 16069, complete genome.